GAUGAACGCUGGCGGCGUGCCUAAUACAUGCAAGUCGAGCGAACGGACGAGAAGCUUGCUUCUCUGAUGUUAGCGGCGGACGGGUGAGUAACACGUGGAUAACCUACCUAUAAGACUGGGAUAACUUCGGGAAACCGGAGCUAAUACCGGAUAAUAUUUUGAACCGCAUGGUUCAAAAGUGAAAGACGGUCUUGCUGUCACUUAUAGAUGGAUCCGCGCUGCAUUAGCUAGUUGGUAAGGUAACGGCUUACCAAGGCAACGAUGCAUAGCCGACCUGAGAGGGUGAUCGGCCACACUGGAACUGAGACACGGUCCAGACUCCUACGGGAGGCAGCAGUAGGGAAUCUUCCGCAAUGGGCGAAAGCCUGACGGAGCAACGCCGCGUGAGUGAUGAAGGCCUUCGGAUCGUAAAACUCUGUUAUUAGGGAAGAACAUAUGUGCAAGUAACUGUGCACAUCUUGACGGUACCUAAUCAGAAAGCCACGGCUAACUACGUG
rnacentral:rRNA from 1 species